rnacentral:rRNA from 1 species
UACGUAGGGUGCGAGCGUUAAUCGGAAUUACUGGGCGUAAAGCGUGCGCAGGCGGCGCCGCAAGUCAGACGUGAAAUCCCCGAGCUUAACUUGGGAAUGGCGCUUGAAACUACGGUGCUGGAGUGUGGCAGAGGGAGGUGGAAUUCCACGUGUAGCGGUGAAAUGCGUAGAGAUGUGGAGGAACACCGAUGGCGAAGGCAGCCUCCUGGGCCAACACUGACGCUCAUGCACGAAAGCGUGGGGAGCAAACAGG